GUGAAGAACGCAGUGAAAUGCGAUAAGUAAUGUGAAUUGCAGAAUUCAGUGAAUCAUCGAAUCUUUGAACGCACAUUGCGCCCGCCAGUAUUCUGGCGGGCAUGCCUGUUCGAGCGUCAUUUCAACCAUCAAGCCCCAGGCUUGUGUUGGGGACCUGCGGCUGCCGCAGGCCCUGAAAACCAGUGGCGGGCUCGCUGUCACACCGGGCGUAGUAGAUUUUAUCUCGCUCAGGGCGUGCUGCGGGUUCCGGCCGUUAAAAAGCCUUUUUUACCCAAGGUUGACCUCGGAUCAGGUAGGAAGACCCGCUGAACUUAAGCAUAUCAAUAAGCGGAGGA
rnacentral:misc_RNA from 1 species